CCAAAUCACAAACAAAGUAGCUUGAGGUAUGCUAAAGCACAUUUGGAAAAGCCAGCUUCCUUUUGGAAUAUGGUGCUGUGGACUAAUGAAACUAAAAUUCAGUUAUUUGGACAUAAGGGGCGGUAUGCGUGGCUGAAAAAGAACAGAGCAUUCCAAGAAAAACACUUGCUACCUACAGUAAAAUUUGGAGGUGGUUCCA